AGAGCUGCUCUACUUCUUGAUUCACUUACCUGCUAUUAUAAAGCAGCAGAUGUUGCUCCAAUCUCUUACAGCCGUGAACAAGAUCUUCCUGCUGCG